rnacentral:lncRNA from 1 species
CUCAGUUGCUCUCAGACACACUCCUGGACAGCUCCCGGGAUGGGGGAGUCCCAAGGAGAGCACGCAGGACAGGGAGCGCAGCUUCCCCUGGGAGGGGUGGGACAGGAGGGACAGGAGCCAGCCCUCCCCUCUAAGCCUGAGAAAGCCACUAGGUAAACUCGGUUGUCAGAAGGGAGGGAGAGUUUCAGUCAGGGUCAGGGGUUAAUGCGAUGGAGCUACUGGGACACACUGUGCAAACAAAACAAGUUAGGGGAGGGGAGGGGCCGGCCCUCUGGCCACAGGGAGGGAGAUGGGCCAGUCAGCCUGCACUUGGCUCUUCCCUGGGUAGCUGCCAUCGUGGGCACAGGUUCUGGGCUGUUGAGGACCUUGUGGCCAGGCUGCUGGGCUCUAAGGCCAAGAGGGCAGCAUUCUCCUUCUGAAGGCCGCCCCCCAGAGCUGGCACGGUAGGCCUGCUGAGCUGCCUUGCCCACCUUCAGGGCCCCUCCACAGUGGGGACGUGACUUGUAAAAGCCUUCCUUCUUCCCAGCUGCUGGCUAAGUCUGGCCUCACCUCCAGAGGACAAAGAUCUUGACUCCUCAACCCAGGCCGGCCUAUUGAGAUCUUUUUAAAUCCCCUCUCAGACCUUGUGGUCAGUGUCUGAGGAUGGUAGCAGAAGUCAGGGAUCCUGGACCCAGCUCUGUUGGAUUGUCCCUGUGACUUGGAGUGUGGUCUUUGCACAAGCUGUGCUUUGGUUUCCCCUCUCUAGGUCAAUUAGCAGAACACAUUUCCCAGUCUGAUUGCCCACAAGGGAGAAAAAUUCAAACCUUCCAGGCUCCCUGGAGUCCCUGGAGAAUACAACGAGGUGUCUCAGGGAGCAAUGGGAAGCAGGACGUGGUGCCUGCUAAUGAGUGGGCCCUGAUUUCCGUCUGGAGCAUCAGAGGAUGGAAUGCCAGGCAUCCAUGACUAGAGAGAGGCCCCAGCUCCCAUUGAUCUCUGUGGCAGGAACCAGGAGACCCAGCAGAGGCCAUGCUCAGCAGCCCCUCCAGCUGCGCUUCUCCUUAGUGGGAAGGAGCCCUCUUACUCACUGCACCCUCUCUGAAUUCUCCCCCAGUACCUGCUUUUGCCCCUACCCUUGCCUUCUGCUUUUCCCAAAUGGCCACCUCAGCUUAUCUGCCCAUUGGCUGAUCUCUGCAAUGAUCACAUCUGGGAACACCUUUAAUAACAAUGAUAACAGGGCCAGGCACGAUGGCUCACACCUAUAACCCCAGCACUUUGGGAAGCCGAGGCGGGUGGAUCACUUGAGUCCAGGAAUUCGAGACCAGCUUGGUCAACAUGGUGAAACCCCAUCUCUAUUAAAAAUACAAACAUUAGCCAGGCAUGGUGGCAGGCACCUGUAAUCCCAGCUACUCGGGAGGCUGAAGCGGGAGAAUCGCUUGAACCCGAGAGGCAGAGGUUGCAGUGAGCUGAGAUGGUGCCACUGCAUUCUAGCCUGAGUGACAGAGCAAGACUCCAUCUCAAAAAAUAAAAUAAAA